UACGUGAGGGUGCGAGCGUUAAUCGGAAUUACUGGGCGUAAAGCGUGCGCAGGCGGUUCGUUAAGUCAGGCUGUGAAAGCCCCGGGCUCAACCUGGGAAUUGCGGUUGAAACUGGCGAACUAGAAUCUGGCAGAGGGGGGUGGAAUUCCACGUGUAGCAGUGAAAUGCGUAGAGAUGUGGAGGAACACCGAUGGCGAAGGCAGCCCCCUGGGCUAAGAUUGACGCUCAGGCACGAAAGCGUGGGGAGCAAACAGG
rnacentral:rRNA from 1 species